GCCUAGUACACUCGCUUUCUAGCCGGCGGUGUGCAUCGAAACUCACAGUGCGGGAGUUCUAGGCUCCUGCCUUACUGAUUGCACUCACACUCCCAGCUCCCAAGACUCGAAAGCCUGGGCGAGGAAGCGAAGCGACUAAAGUAGCCAGAAGCUCUGCCCGUUUCCAUUUGGGCCCUUUGCCCAGCGGGUGCAGAAAUGAACCCCGGUCCACUCUGAGGAUCUCCAAGGAGCUCUGGGAAGCUGUAUGACAAGCACCUGAGACUUCUGUUCCCUAGCCAGGUUAAAAGGAGCAGCCCCUUUUGAUAACACCAAUCAGGAUCUUCUCUCUCUCCUGCCACCACCCUCAACUCUGCAGACUCCG